AUGAGUGACGCUGUAACCACCAGGACCUGGAAGAUCAUGGCAAACCAUCUGCUUCAGAGGAAACAGAUGGUCACUGAUGUUCUCCAUCCUGGGAAGACAACAGUACCAAAGGCAGAAAUUUGGGAAAAGCUGGCCAAAAUGUACAAAACCACACUAGAUGUCAUCUUUGUACUUGGAUUCAGAACCCACUUCGGUGGUGGCGAGAAACUGGCUUUGGCAUGAUCUAUGAGUCUUUAGAUUAUGCAAAGAAUAAUGAUCCUAAACAGACUCACAAGAAAUGGCCUUUAUGAGAAGAAAGACCACCUGAAAACAGCGAAAGCAACGUAAGAACAGAAUGAAGAAGGUCAGGGGGACUGCAAAGGCCAAUGUUGGUGCUGGCAAA
rnacentral:lncRNA from 1 species